GAAUCUGAGGGUGAUCUAACUCCAACAACUGUCACUCACUGAUCACUGGAUAGGUGUCCCCUUCCUCCAUCAACAUUCCUUGUACUACUCCUGAAGCUGAGCAUAAAGAAGAGAGAGACCUUCCCACAGAGAAGAAACUGUUAUUUUAAGAUUUUACUUCGUUUUUAGUUAUGUGUAUACCUGUGUGUGCAUGUGAGUACACAUGGGUUCCAGUACCCAUAGAGACUGGAAGAGGGCAUCAGAUACCCUGGAAUGGGACUUACAGGGGUUUGUGAGCCCACAGCUCAGUGUGUCUGCUAGGAGUCACGCUUCUAAGCCAUCUCUCCAACCUCAGGAGGAUCAUUCUGGAAUUAAAGGUAGACAAGUAGCCGUGCUCCUUUGCUAGAACCUGCAAGCAAGCUCUCUUUGGAGCCUUGUGGGAGACUGAAGAAUAGGAGACCACCUGAGCCAAUCCCAAUUUCCUGAUCUACAAAAACCUGGGAUU
rnacentral:snRNA from 1 species